rnacentral:misc_RNA from 1 species
CUGAGUCUUUGAACUAGGUUGAAGCUGGCCUUUCGAGGCAUGUGCUCGCCUUGCUCUUCAUCCACUCACCCCUGUGCACCUUGCGUUCGAGAUGUGAUCUAAACCUUUCAUUAGGUAGCCAGUAGGGAAACCUAUUUGGUGGGCCGCUCUUGGCGUAUUUUUUCCACACAAACCCUUUGAAUGUCAUUAGAAUGUAUUUGGCCUACGGGCUUUGAAACAUAAUA